UUCUGGCUCAGGAUGAACGCUAGCUACAGGCUUAACACAUGCAAGUCGAGGGGCAGCAUGAUCUUAGCUUGCUAAGAUUGAUGGCGACCGGCGCACGGGUGAGUAACGCGUAUCCAACCUUCCCCUUAGUAGGGCAUAGCCCGGUGAAAAUCGGAUUAAUACCCUAUGUUGUGUCAUGAGGACAUCUGAAUAACACUAAAGAUUUAUCGCUAAGGGAUGGGGAUGCGUCCGAUUAGGUAGUCGGCGGGGUAACGGCCCACCGAGCCCUCGAUCGGUAGGGUUCUGAGAGGAAGGUCCCCCCACACUGGUACUGAGACACGGACCAGACUCCUACGGGAGGCAGCAGUGAGGAAUAUUGGUCAAUGGGCGUAAGCCUGAACCAGCCAAGUAGCGUGCAGGAUGACGGCCCUAUGGGUUGUAAACUGCUUUUAUACGGGGAUAAAGUGAGGGACGUGUCCCUUAUUGUAGGUACCGUAUGAAUAAGGACCGGCUAAUUCCGUGCCAGCAGCUGC
rnacentral:rRNA from 1 species